CCAAAUUCCGACACCUUCGGGUACUUAUCUCAGUCCGAGACCUAAAUGAAAGUUGUAGGCGACGUUCUGAACAUUAAGAAUGUCAAUUUUAUUUAGUGGUCGGACUGUUUUAAGUAAACGGUUUCAAUAGCCAAAGUUGGCUAGAAACCUAGUUUUGGAUUAAUUAAUUAUAGUUAGAUUGUAAUUAAUUCGAGUUAUUAUCGAAAUUGUGUAGACUUGACGAGGCGACUACCAAUGGAACCCGAAACUUACGGAACGCGAGAUCGCUAGGUAUUAUCGAAAAUUAUGGAUAGCAAGCGUGUGUUUUUCAGGUACCUAGAUUCUAGACGUCGCUAGAAGUUCGUCUUUAACCGGAAGUUCCUUUGGCUAUGUACAGCCCCGACUUCCGUAGAUGCUGCAGUAGUAUGAUGUCUGACCAGUGUCGUGGCCUAUUACAGCAGUGAAAUUUUAUAUGGUUUAUAGUUAAUGUCUGUUGUGUAUAUGAGGUCUGGCUACAAUAGUUAUCACGGAGGUAAAUUCCCGUGAUGUAAUUUUGACAUAGUGGUUUAUGCCGGGCUAAUACGUUCAUGAUACGGAAACGAUAAGUCCGAGCACGUUGUAUGGUUUUACCACUGUAUAUUAAUGUAUCUUUGUUUAAA